GACGAACGCUGGCGGCGUGCUUAACACAUGCAAGUCGAACGGAAAGGCCCUGCUUUUGUAGGGUGCUCGAGUGGCGAACGGGUGAGUAACACGUGAGUAACCUGCCCUUGACUUUGGGAUAACUUCAGGAAACUGGGGCUAAUACCGGAUAGGAGCUCCUGCUGCAUGGUGGGGGUUGGAAAGUUUCGGCGGUUGGGGAUGGACUCGCGGCUUAUCAGCUUGUUGGUGGGGUAGUGGCUUACCAAGGCUUUGACGGGUAGCCGGCCUGAGAGGGUGACCGGCCACAUUGGGACUGAGAUACGGCCCAGACUCCUACGGGAGGCAGCAGUGGGGAAUAUUGCACAAUGGGCGGAAGCCUGAUGCAGCAACGCCGCGUGCGGGAUGACGGCCUUCGGGUUGUAAACCGCUUUCGCCUGUGACGAAGCGUGAGUGACGGUAAUGGGUAAAGAAGUACCGGCUAACUACGUG
rnacentral:rRNA from 1 species